GGGGGGGGGGGGGGGGGGGGGGGGGGGGGGGGGGGGGGGGGGGGGGGCGGGGAGGUGGCUGUGCUGGUGUUGGCGGCGGGCGGGGGGGUAACACGUGGAUAACCUACCUAUCAGACUGGGGUAACUUCGGGAAACCGGGGCUACUACCGGAUAAUAUUUUGAGCCGCCUGAUUCCAAAGUGCCAGCCGGUCUUGCUGUCCCUUCUAGCUGGAUCCGCGCUGCAUUAGCUAGUUGGUAAGGUAACGGCUUACCAAGGCAACUAUGCAUAGCCGACCUGAGAGGGUGAUCGGCCACACUGGAACUGAGACACGGUCCAGACUCCUACGGGAGGCAGCAGUAGGGAAUCUUCCGCAAUGGGCGAAAGCCUGACGGAGCAACGCCGCGUGAGUGAUGAAGGUCUUCGGAUCGUAAAACUCUGUUAUUAGGGAAGAACAUAUGUGUAAGUAACUGUGCACAUCUUGACGGUACCUAAUCAGAAAGCCACGGCUAACUACGUG
rnacentral:rRNA from 1 species